CUUUUUACAUGAUUAUUUAAAAUACCCAUAAUUUUAGGAGUAUCAUUUAAGUUGCCCAAUGAUGUAUGUGGUGUAAUUUCUACUUUUUCAAUGAAUUAGACUGUGCCUGAGUGUGCUAGGUUGUUACUUUUUCUCAAAAGUAAGUCAUGGGUCAACUUCUUAUUUUAACUUUCUUUUUGAAAGAGCAAGUUAAAUAAUAAAAGAAGUAAUUACACAUUUGACAAAUAAAUAACUGUGCAACUAUCUAGCGCACAAUUACUCGAAGUCAUUACGACAUGAUAUGCACUUAACCAUAUGUUCAAUGUCAGUAGUUGCCUGUUGGUUCAUCAAUUUUUAUUUGACAAUAAUCCAAUGAACUUCAUUGAUUCUUGGAUGUCGAAGAUUCCACUCGAGUUUUCGAACUUCUCACGGAGACUUGUCUUUGAACAUAGGUAAUACUUUGUUUACAAAUUUUUUUCUUCAUUUGCUAAUUUUAAUAAAAUUACUUUCCCGUUCAAUAAUUUCGUUGCACUUGUUAACUAUGAUGUUAUCCCUUUUUUUGUUUUCAGAUAUAUCUACAACCAUGAUAAUUCCGCCUGGUCCCGUGGUAGACUUUCUUAUUGCAAACCAAAAUGUGAAGGAUUCAUUUUCUAUUAACUUGGCAAAGGUAAUGAACAAUUUCAUCUAGGCAAUUGUAAGUUUCUUUAAUCAAGAGUGUUUUCUCGUUGCAAAUAAAAUCAACUAUAUUUGAACCCCUCAGGCAAAACGUGUUCAGAAGAAUUUAAGGACAACGAAAUUAUUGUCACUACAUUAUGGCAAUUAUGCAUAAUUCUACACCAAGCUUGCUAAUUAGCAAACCUUGUCGUCCAUUUGGAACAUGUCCCCUUUCCCAAGCCAGCUACACAACAUUCUCUAAAUAUGUUUCUCAAUCAUGCAAAAUGCAUGCUACAUAUGUGAUUCAAUUACCUCAUUUCCUUUUUGGAACUCUUAAGAAUAAUGUCAUCUUUCCUAGAAUAGAAUAUAUUUUUCCCAGAAGUACGACACUUGAAAAUUUAUUAGCUAAAGGUAGAACCCUCUAAUUCUCCUAUAAAACUUCAUGCUAGCUUUAAUUGGGAUGUUCAAUCCAAAUAGAUUAAACAAGAAAUGCUUAGUUAUUAUGAUACUCUUGGUCUCUUCAACGAGAAUUCCAAGAUUAGCAAAAAUUUAAAUACGUCAACUAUGAACGUAUAUUCAAACUUCUUCAUCUUCUUUUGUGUUGUAGUCUGCACUAUUUUUUUUUUCCUCUAUACUAAACAGACAUUUAGUUUUUAGUGUGCUUUUAUUUUCAUCGUAUAAAGUCGUUUGAUUUAAUAACUAAUUAAAAAAGAAAAAAUCUCACAUUAAUAGUCAUUUAAGAUAUUGUGAUUUGUGAUGAUGGCACUAUUACAAAUACGUGCACUAACUCAAUCAUUCAAAGAGUUUUUGGCAAAUGAGGACCCCUAAUUCCACCUGACGUACACAGUAUCCUUCAUGUCUAUUGAUUGGAGUUAUUUCUUUAUGUAUUUGCCUUUACAUGUUCACUCCUCUCAUGAAAUGCAUUCAUAAAUUUUCUUAUUGCACUGCUAUUAUAAUUGUCAUUUUCUCUAAUUUCUUCCCUAACCUUAAAAUGUGUCCUUCAUAUAAAACCUUACACUAUGCUUUCAAGUAUCGAGUUGCCCAUCAUCGCACAUUUUGAUAAUACAUAGACAGGGAUAGGUAGCUAUUUAUAUAAAUCAUAAUCAUCUUAAUUAAAUAAUUAACUUUUUAAAAAUGUGUAACUAAUUAACGUUCUCCAUGCAAUCAUUUCAAAGAUUCUUGCAGAAUUCUCUAAAAUAUAGCAUGGAAGACGUUAAACAGUUCCACAUUCUACACCAAUUAUGUGUCUCAUCAUGUCAACCACUUUAUUAUUGUUCUCAUAAAAACUUUCAUUCACAUCUUAUGAGGUUUUAUGUACAAAGUGAAAGCUCUACCUUUUAUGAAAUUCAAUCUUACUUUUUUACAACAAAAUAAUCCCCAUAUGAAUGGUUGCACAAAGCCUGCUUCGAACUACAUGACAAUCAAUGCAGAGGUAAGGUCCUCCGUGAAAUUGUACUUUGUAUUAAAUAAUAUAACAUUUUGCAUUUCUAAUUUCCAUAUUGUAUACUUAAUCUUCUGUCCCUUACAUUCUUUUGUUUUUGUAGCUAGAUGGCUUAAAUUCUUUAUUAACCUUUACAUAAACUACGUUUAUCCCAAUGGUAUCCAAGGUCGCAGUUGAUUUCGAGGUUGUUACUCAAUGAUUGAUUUUUUGCCACUUUCUAAUUAUUGUAAUUUGCAUCUAUGUUUUUUAUUAAUUAUAUAUGUAGCUUUUGCUUCAUUUCUAUGUCAAUUCAAUGGAAAAGAAACCCGAUGAAAGUAUUUUUUGAAGUACAUUGUUGUAUUCAAGGUUGUAACACAAAUUGUUCUCCUCUUGUAAAUUUGAACUUCCUCCGAUGCCUUUUCCAUAAUGUUUCCUUCUC
rnacentral:lncRNA from 1 species